rnacentral:rRNA from 1 species
UUGCGCCUACGGGGGGCAGCAGUGGGGAAUAUUGCGCAAUGGACGAAAGUCUGACGCAGCGACGCCGCGUGAAGGAAGAAGGCUUUCGGGUUGUAAACUUCUUUUCUCAGGGACGAAGAAAGUGACGGUACCUGAGGAAUAAGCCACGGCUAACUACGUGCCAGCAGCCGCGGUAAUACGUAGGUGGCAAGCGUUAUCCGGAUUUACUGGGUGUAAAGGGCGUGUAGGCGGGAGUGCAAGUCAGAUGUGAAAACCACGGGCUCAACCUGUGGCC